rnacentral:lncRNA from 1 species
CCGUAAGGCUCCUGUUCCCGCCCCCUCCCGCCCCAGGGACCCAGACCCCAGGAGGCCUCACCCCACAGCAAGAGAAAGACCACGAGCAUGGACAUGAUGGUCGCGCUCACUCCGGUGCAGUGAGUGUCUGGGGGAUGGAUCCUAGAACCUGUUCUAGAAGGAGACGCUGAGUUCUCCCCACUCUACCUGGAGCUGCUGAGGUCAAGUGGAGAGUGCCGGGGCUGAAGCCCAGCGAGCCCCUCCCUG